rnacentral:rRNA from 1 species
UUGUCUAUNAAUUGUAGACCNGUAUGAAAGGCAUAAUGAGGGUCUAUCUGUCUCUUACAAUAAAUCAAUUAAACUGAUCUCCUAGUAAAAAAGCUAGAAUCUACACAUAAGACCAGAAGACCCUGUGAAGCUUAAACUAAACUAUUAAACCUUAUAAUACCUACUUUCGGUUGGGGCGACCUUGGAAAAAAAAAGAACUUC